rnacentral:rRNA from 1 species
AAUGCCUACGGGAGGCAGCAGUGGGGAAUAUUGGGCAAUGGGCGCAAGCCUGACCCAGCAACGCCGCGUGAAGGAAGAAGGCUUUCGGGUUGUAAACUUCUUUUGUCAGGGACGAAGCAAGUGACGGUACCUGACGAAUAAGCCACGGCUAACUACGUGCCAGCAGCCGCGGUAAUACGUAGGUGGCAAGCGUUAUCCGGAUUUACUGGGUGUAAAGGGCGUGUAGGCGGGGAAGCAAGUCAGAUGUGAAAUACCGGGGCCCAACCCCGGGGCUGCAUUGGGAACUGCCAGGCUGGAGUGCCGGG